rnacentral:lncRNA from 1 species
UACAGAAAGAGAAUAGAAGUCUUUCAAAUUUGUGGGAAAAUUAUCUGGAAAUUGAAAGUCCUCCAGGCAAAGGUCUGGCUGUGAUAUUACUUCUGGGCGACACUUCUCACAAGAGGGAAGAUAGGUACUGUCAGACCACAGAUCCCUGUUCCUGGGGAGAAUGCACCAGGGAAUACAAGAAAGUAGUGGUCCACAACCUUUUUGGCACCAGGGACUGGUUUCAUGGAAGACAAUUUUUCCGUGGACCGACGGUUGGACCUUCAUUGAAGACCUAAGUUGCCCCUCCCAGGGUUGGGUUGAUGUAGAUCAACCCAAGUGCUGCCUGGAGCUAAGGAGGAUCAGGAUUGGAUGCUGGAGAGCAGAGAUGAAGAAUAUCAACUAUGGCCUCAGGGCCAGCAGGGAUGCUGGUUUUUCCUCGGCUAAUAGCCAUUUGCAAUAGGGUCAAGAUUUAUGCCAGCUGGAAUCUCACAGGAUAUCAGUCACAUUGCUUUCUUCUAAGCAAUUGCUUAUGCUUACAAGAAAAGGAGCAGGAACAUUGAAAGGAAAAUGACAUACUUAGCUUAGGGUUCUGCAUGACAAAUGGCUCUUGAUAACCUUCCCCCGUCAAUUCUGGGAGAGUAGACAAAAGCAAAGAAAACAAAUUGACUACAGACAUCGACAUUCAUCCUACUUGAAGAGAGAACCAGUCUGUGUGAAAAACAGAGUAAACUUCAAAAGAAUCCAGCAAUUGCCCUGAACUGACCCAUAAAGAGAAAUUAGAAAUCGAAAGUUGAAAAUUAGGAAGCUCAAGAGUGAAUCUGAGGACUGAUGUGCUCCACACAUUACCUUCAAGACUGUUUAGUUUAAACAAAGUAUAGCUCAUUUCAUUAAAUGGACAAUGGUUGGAUUCUGCUUCAUUAGUAGUCAAUCUCAAUGAAUCUGUUCCACAUAUUACCUUCAAGGUUAUUUACUUUUUCUUCUCCAGGACACAGUGCUUAGAAAAAUCAAAUAGAAAAGCCACCAAGCUUACCAUUUCAACCAAGGAUAAAUAUAAGAACAUCCCAGCAGUGACUGUGAAGAUCCAGUCUUGAACACAUGGAUCAGCUGACACGGAAAGGCCAAUGUAUAAUCCCAUGAAGGCAGUUAGGGAGCUUAUAAAAUUCAUCAGGAUGGCAGUCUUCAUAGAAAGUCCAGAGCUUAAGAGCACGGCAAAGUCUCCUGAAGUUUAAGAGGAAAGGAAAAUAUAAUUAUCAUUUAAUGGAAGACGCCUUUGCUAAAGUAACGCACUAUUAGCUAUUUCGAAUGUCAGCACUGGAACCAAUUUUAUAGGUAGAGUUGAGUGAUCAGUAAAUAAAAUGCUUUCCUAUAUUUCUCUAGAAUUCAUAGCCCAUUCAUCGUACUAUUAGGAAGUUGCAUUUCAAGAGUUCCAUUCCUUUGGCUGCUCCUAAAGAUUGUAUCUACAGAGAGGUCUGUGACAUAUUCUUGAGUUCUUGAUAUCCUCUGACAUUUCCAACUUAGAUAAAUGGAAAAUAGUCACUCACUGUCCCAGGGUUUCUAAAUCUUUGGGCCUGGAAAUUUGCCAGGUGAAAUCAUGACACUAUAUGGGCUUUUAUUAUUUACUUAUGCAGAAACUGCUGUGGGGAGAGAAAACUACUUAAUAUGAGAUUUUUAAAGCAUUGUAAAAGUUGGUUAGGAAACAAAUUUUUCCCUUUAGAAAAUGAUUAUAGGAAAAUGAUCUCAUUCUCUCCAUGCCUUCCCUCCAAGAGAAGAUUGACCUGUUAGUAAAUCUGAGAACAUCUACUUCUUAGUUUGGGGGAUUGAGACUAAAAUUCAAUAGACAGCUUGGGGACCCAGUUUUCUAGUUCCAUUGCAUAAUUGUUCCCAUGAACGGGGCUUGAAACAUCUCUGCUGGCCUGCUGCAGACGGUCACACUGCCCUGUGGCUUUGGGUUGAGGACUGGGGGCUACAUCCCUGUUACAGUAGCAAAACUCAGGACCACAGAUAGGGGAUGGCUUCCAGACCAGGUGCACUUUAAUGAGCCCAGGGAGGACCUUGGAUAAACUGCUCCAAGAAGGAUAGGUCAAUAAUGAGUCAGUGUCAGGACUUUGAGCAACGGACUCCAAGCACAAGAGGGCAAGCGUUUCCUAGGGGCAAUGUAGGUGCGAAAGUGGAAGCAGAGAGACUGCGAAGAGCCCUCUCCCUUGGGAGCCUAUGCCAGACCAGCCUCUACUAUUUCUGGGUCUGUUUCAGAAACGUCUGUUCUAACCCAUCUUGCGUCCUGGGAGGCAAAGAACAGGGCUAUAUUGUUCUCACUUAUUUGUGGGAUCUAAAAAUCAAAACAAUUGAAUUCAUGGAGUUAAAGAAUAGAAGAAGGUUACCAGAGGCUGGGAAGGGUAGUGGGGUGGUAGGGGAAGGUGGAGGUGAGGUAAAGAUGGUUAAUCACUACAAAAAAAAAAAAAAAAAUAGAAUGAAUAAGACCUAGUAUUUGAUAGCACAACAGGACGACUACAGUCAUCAUAAUUUAAUUUGUACAUUUAAAAAUAACUAAAAGAGUAUAAUUGGAUAGUUUGUAACACAAACAAUAAAUGCUUGAGGGGAUGGA